GAUGAACGCUGGCGGCGUGCCUAAUACAUGCAAGUCGAGCGAACAGAUGAGGAGCUUGCUCCUCUGACGUUAGCGGCGGACGGGUGAGUAACACGUGGAUAACCUACCUAUAAGACUGGGAUAACUUCGGGAAACCGGAGCUAAUACCGGAUAAUAUAUUGAACCGCAUGGUUCAAUAGUGAAAGACGGUUUUGCUGUCACUUAUAGAUGGAUCCGCGCCGCAUUAGCUAGUUGGUAAGGUAACGGCUUACCAAGGCAACGAUGCGUAGCCGACCUGAGAGGGUGAUCGGCCACACUGGAACUGAGACACGGUCCAGACUCCUACGGGAGGCAGCAGUAGGGAAUCUUCCGGAAUGGGCGAAAGCCUGACGGAGCAACGCCGCGGGAGUGAUGAAGGUCUUCGGAUCGUAAAACUCUGUUAUUAGGGAAGAACAAAUGUGUAAGUAACUAUGCACGUCUUGACGGUACCUAAUCAGAAAGCCACGGCUAACUACGUG
rnacentral:rRNA from 1 species